rnacentral:lncRNA from 1 species
GUUGUUGCAUAUCAAAUGAAAGCUCAUCUACUCUAUGUUAUUUAUAUCAUAAUUCCGAUCUCAAAAAUGUAGGCGGAUGAGGUCAUUAAGUGUUAAAAGUGGAAAGUUUCAGAAGGUAUGCUUGUCGUAUAUCAAACGAAAGGUCAUACAAGGUACAUUACGAAAACAUCACUUUUACAGGAAAGACCUUUCAAUUGUUUUACAAACAAUUGAGAUACUAGUUGGUUUUACUUUUACAGUUCAUCGGACGAAUUCACAGUUUCUGCAGAAUGCAAGUUCUCUCGAUAUGCAACCUUUAGCACAUAUCGGUAGACAUUUUUUGAAUGUUGUCUUAAUCGGUACAACUGUUAAUAUCAGGCAAUAUAAAUGUACUGUCAAUAAUCAAUUUAACGAUAUCAACUUGAUUUUUAUACGAUCGUCAAAAUU